UCCCCAAGGCCACCCCAGAUGUCACCAAGGUCCCCUCAGAAGUCCCAGAUGUCCCCAAGGCCACCUGAGGUGUCCCCAAGGCCACCCCAGAUGUCCCCAAUGCCCUCUCAGAAGUCCCAGAUGUCCCCAAGGCCACCCCUGGUGUCCCCAGAUGUCCCCAAAGCCACCUCAGAUGUCCCCAAGGUCCUCUCAGAAGUCCCAGAUGUCCCCAAGGCCACCCCAGAUGUCCCCAAGGCCACCUCAGGUGUCCCCAAGGCCACCCCAGAUGUCCCAGAUGUCCCCAAGGCCACCUGAUGUGUCCCCAGAUGUCCCCAAGGCCACCCCAGAUGUCCUCAACUGUCCCCAAGGCCACCUCAGAUGUCCCCAAGGCCACCCCUGGUGUCCCCUCAGAAGUCCCAGAUGUCCCCAAGGCCACCCCGGGUGUCCCCAGGCCCCGUCCGGCCGUGGCCGAAGCCCCUCAGGCGUCGCCGCUCGCAGCGUCCGGCCCGGCCCUGCAGCUCCACCUGCACCGGCCGGGCCUGGUGGCCACCGUGGCCACCGAGAGCCUGGCCC
rnacentral:lncRNA from 1 species